rnacentral:rRNA from 1 species
CCCUUAGAUGUUCUGCGCCGCACGCGUGCUACACUGAGUGGAUCAGCGGGUCAGGUUGCGCGAAAGCGUUUCCUAAUCUUUAAAUCCGCUCGUGAUGGGGAUUGACGGUUGCAAUUUUCUGUCAUGAACGAGGAAUACCUUGUAAGCGCGGGUCAUCAUCCCGCGCUGAAUACGUCCCUGCCCUUUGUACACACCGCCCGUCGCUCCUACCGAUUGAGUGGUCCGGUGAGGCUUUGGGAUCUGAGCGGAAAGAGCGUUUCGCUGUUUCUGCUCGGAAAACUCAGUCGAACCUUAUCAUUUAGAGGAAGGAGAAGUCGUAACA